rnacentral:rRNA from 1 species
AAAACUUUCAACAACGGAUCUCUUGGUUCUGGCAUCGAUGAAGAACGCAGCGAAAUGCGAUAAGUAAUGUGAAUUGCAGAAUUCAGUGAAUCAUCGAAUCUUUGAACGCACAUUGCGCCCGUCAGUAUUCUGGCGGGCAUGCCUGUUCGAGCGUCAUUA